AGCGAACGCUGGCGGCAGGCUUAACACAUGCAAGUCGAGCGGGCGUAGCAAUACGUCAGCGGCAGACGGGUGAGUAACGCGUGGGAACGUACCUUUUGGUUCGGAACAACACAGGGAAACUUGUGCUAAUACCGGAUAAGCCCUUACGGGGAAAGAUUUAUCGCCGAAAGAUCGGCCCGCGUCUGAUUAGCUAGUUGGUGAGGUAACGGCUCACCAAGGCGACGAUCAGUAGCUGGCUGAGAGGAUGAUCAGCCACAUUGGGACUGAGACACGGCCCAAACUCCUACGGGAGGCAGCAGUGGGGAAUAUUGGACAAUGGGCGCAAGCCUGAUCCAGCCAUGCCGCGUGAGUGAUGAAGGCCCUAGGGUUGUAAAGCUCUUUGUGCGGGAAGAUAAUGACGGUACCGCAAGAAUAAGCCCCGGCUAA
rnacentral:rRNA from 1 species